rnacentral:miRNA from 1 species
UCUCGAGGACCAUAUCAGACC